CUUCACUGUGUGACACCAGGCGGAAGUAAACAGAGAAACUCUCCAGAAGCAUGGCUUCCCUGAAGUGUGUAAAUGGUCGUAGAUGGUUGUUUUGUCAUGUCUCAGAUGAAUAUUUGAUUAGAUGAAGUAACGAUGAGUUCAGUCCAGAAUCUGAGAGAGUUGAUCAACGAGCGACUAACUGCUGCUGCUGAAGAAAUAUUCACGGAGUUUGAGAAAAGCAUCGUCCAGUACGAAAAGGAGAUCCAUCGGCAGUGCAGACUGCUGGAUAGUUUUAGGAAAUCUGAAACGCACACACCAGACCUCCCACAGCUACAGAUCUGUAAGGAGGAUAACAUCUGUCAACCACCAGUAACGUUGCACACAACAGAGAAGGGAUUCCACAUGUUUAGAUUUCCCAGUAAUCGUGAAAGAAGGAAACUGUGGGAAAAUAAAGUCCGGAGAGUGGGAUGGAAACCGACUUCAUCAUCGUUUUUGUGCCAGGAACAUUUUGACAUCCAUCAGUUUGAGAAUGAGCGACAGGAUGGGAAGAAGAAGCUGAAGACGAUUGCAGUGCCUACUAUUUUCUGCUACACUAAACCUCCCAAGGUGCGGAAGUCUCCGAAGAAGCGGACGUCAACUUGCACUCGACCUACUUGUAGAACUGGACACAAGGCUCAUUUGCAAGACCACGGCUACUCUGCCCCUCCAUCCGAGGACAGCUCAACUGGUUCUUACCUUCCAAAGCAACAUGUCUGGAAGGUGGAGGAGGUUCUGUCUGAGCGGAAUGUCUGUAACCAGGAGAGAAACUCCACUGUGGACCAGGAGGAGCCAGAGUCAUCACUGGGAGAAAAUUUCAUGGUCUCUGAAAACACAAUUGGCCAGAACGAGAAAGAGAUCAAUCUUCAGCGCAGACGAUUUAACAUCACCCAAAAACUUCAAAUAAAGUUACACAGAAUAGACCUUCAACAGCAACACAUUUGUGAGGAGCAGGAGGUUUUCACUGACCAUCUGCUCUACAACCGAGAGAGGAACUUCUGUUUGGAUAGGAAGGAUCCAGAGUGUCCACAGAUUAAAGAAGCACAGGAGAAACUCUGCAUCAGCCACCAGCACAACUCAAAACCUCCACAGACUGAAGAGGAGCAGGAACACUGCAUCAGUCUGGACCAGGAUGACUUGGAACCUCCACAGAUUAAAGAGCGACAGGAACGCUGCAGCAGUCAGGAGGGAGAACAGCUCGGUAUCUGCCCAGACAAGGAAGGAAGCAAGCAUCCAGACUCUGGUUCAACAAACAAUUUGGUGCUGAAGACGACACAUGACAGAAACAGCAGUCACAGUAGCAGUAGUAGUUCUUCUAUGUCACAGAUUCACUGUGAUGCUGACAGAAAGAAAAAGACUCAAACAUGUGAUGUCUGUGGAAAAUUCUUUAAAUCUAAGUUCAAAUUAACAACACAUUACAGAAUCCACACAGGUGAGAGGCCAUUUUCUUGUGAAACAUGUGGGAAAAGUUUCACUCGUCGUGACCAUAUGACUGAUCACAUGAGAACUCACACAGGUGAGAAGCCGUAUUCUUGUAACACCUGUGAGAAGAGCUUCCGUUAUUUAAGGUCCCUUUUGAGCCACAUGAGAGUCCACACAGAUGAGUAACCCAACCUUUGUAACAGGGGGGUAAAGAUUUAGUGACCUUUUUGCAUUUAGAAGUCAUACAGCGAUCCACACAGGUGAGAAAUUGUAAUGUCUGUAACACGUGGAAACACAGAUGUAAAGUCAUAUUCUUGAAAGUCCACAUUAGAAUCCACACAGAUGGGAGGCUGUAUUCCUGAAACAUCUGAGAACUAAGCUCUUAUCUGAGAGUUAAUACAGUUUAAAGGUUGAUGUUUGAUAUUUAAGGUUGUGAUGGUGAGGUCUAUAACCAGCUGGUCACUGGAAACUCUCCCUGAUGCUCCACUACCAGCAGGGUGCAAAAAGACACAGAUGAGGGACAAGAAACACAUGUAUUCUUAAUUUUUUUUAUGUGAAUGACAAUUAUUAAUGGUUCAAACAUGUUUGUUGUUCUUUUUGAUCAGUCGUGGUUUGCGCCCUUCAUCUCUCCCAUGGAUCCAUUUCCUUAACGAGUCUUCCUGAUUGUGGGAUUCUGUAGACAGACCGUAACUGAGGCCAGUGAGGUCUGCAGAUCUUUGGGUUUUUGUCUGGGUUUUUUGUUACCUCCAGGAUGAGAUGUUGACGUGGUCUUGGAGAAUUUCUGAUAGGCGGACCACUGCUGGGAAGGUUCACCACUGUUGUGUCAGGAAGGGCAUCCGACGUAAAACUUUGGCCAAAUCAAACGUGAAUCAAAUGUAUGACUUCCAUACCGGAUCGGUCGAGGCCCGGGUUAACAACAACCGCCAUCAGUGCUGUCGACCUACAGGGUGCCGGUGGAAAAUGGGCGACUGUUGGUCGAAGAAGGAAGGUGUGUUCGUAGGAAGAGAGAGAAGAGGAACACCAAGAGUCUAGGACUGAGAGUAGGGACUUUGAAUGUUGGAACUAUGACAGGAAAAGGUAGAGAGCUGGUUGACAUGAUGCAGAGGAGGAAGGUGGACAUACUGUGUGUCCAGGAGACCAGGUGGAAAGGUAGUAAAGCUAGAAGUCUAGGAGCAGGAUUCAAGUUGUUCUACCAUGGUGUAGAUAGGAAGAGAAAGGGAUUAGGAGUUAUCUUGAAGGAGGAGUUUGUUUGGAAUGUCCUGGAGGUAAAAAGAGUGUCAGAUGGAGUGAUGAGCAUGAAGCUAGAAAUCGAAGGUGUGAUGUUCAAUGUUGUUAGUGGGUAUGCUCCACAGGUAGGAUGUGAGCUGGAGGAGAAGGAGAAAUUCUGGUUGGACCUUGAUGAAGUGAUGCAGAGCAUCCCUAGAAGUGAGAGAGUUGUCAUUGGUGCAGACAAUGGACAUGUUGUUGCAGGAAACAGAGAUGAUGAGGAGGUCAUGGGCAGGUUUGGUUUCCAGGAGAGGAACGCAGAAGGACAGAUGGUGGUUGACUUUGCAAAAAGGAUGGAAAUGGCUGUAGUGAAUACUUUCUUCCAGAAGAGGCAGGAACAUAGGGUGACCUAUAAGAGUGGAGGUAGGAGCACACAGGUAGACUACAUCUUGUGUAGAUGGUGUAAUCUGAAGGAGAUCAGUGACUGCAAAGUAGUGGUAGGUGAGAGUGUAGCCAGACAGCAUAGGAUGGUGGUGUGUAGGAUGACCCUGGUGGUGAAGAAGAUGAAGAGGGCAAAGGCAGAGCAGAGGACCAAAUGGUGGAAGCUGAAAAAGGAAGAGUGUUGUAUGACUUUCAGGAAAGAGUUGAGACAGGCUUUGGAUGGUCAGGAGGGGCUUCCAGAUGACUGGACAACUACAGCAAAUGUGAUCAGGGAGGCAGGUCGGAGAGUACCUGGUGUGUCAUCUGGAAGGAAACGAGAUAACGAGACUUGGUUGUGGAAUGAGGAGGUGCAGGAGUGGAUCCAGAGAAAGAGGUUAGCUAAGAAGUGGGAUACUGAGAGGACUGAAGAGAGUAGACAGGGAGUACAGGGAGAUGCAGCGUAAGGUGAAAGUAGAGGUGGCAAAGGCCAAACAAGGGGCUUACGAUGACUUGUAUUCUAGGUUGGACAGUAAGAAGGGAGAGACUGAUCUGUACAGGUUGGCAAGGCAGAGAGACAGAGAUGGGAAACACGUGCAGCAGGUUAGGGUGAUAAAGGAUAAGGAUGGAAGUGUGUUGACAGGUGCCAAUAGUGUGAUAGGAAGAUGGAAAGAGUACUUUGAAAGAGUUGAUGAAUGAGGAAAAUGAGAGAGAACGAAGAAGUAGAAGAGGUGACUGUUGUGGACCAGGAAGUAGCAAAGAUUAGUAAUUCAUUGUCAUAGAGAUGACAAUGAAUACCAUCUCUAUGGUCUCAUAAAUCCAUUUGAACUCUUGAAAACAUGCAAGAAGACAGUGAAUCGAGCCCUUUAAGGAAUUUCUAACUAAACUGUCGGGCAGACUGAAGGUUCUCCUUCCUGUAUUUGUACUUAAAUGUGUUUUCAUUCCAAAGCACACCAGAUGCCUUCUGACAACAGAUUGGUGAGGUAGGUCCCAUUGACUGAGUGACUCCUGGUGGGUGGUUUAACAGAACACAAAGGACUACAUUUGGUGUUACAAAGGAGCUGCACAGUGGAGGCAGCAGCAUGAUUCUAAGUGUACUGCUAAUUGUUGUUCAUUCUUAAUGAUGUGCUUUAUAUAAAGACCAGCAGACAACAGGGUUACUUUG